GAUCAUUACUGAGUUUACGCUCUAUAACCCUUUGUGAACAUACCUAUAACUGUUGCUUCGGCGGGUAGGGUCUCCGCGACCCUCCCGGCCUCCCGCCUCCGGGCGGGUCGGCGCCCGCCGGAGGAUAACCAAACUCUGAUUUAACGACGUUUCUUCUGAGUGGUACAAGCAAAUAAUCAAAACUUUUAACAACGGAUCUCUUGGUUCUGGCAUCGAUGAAGAACGCAGCGAAAUGCGAUAAGUAAUGUGAAUUGCAGAAUUCAGUGAAUCAUCGAAUCUUUGAACGCACAUUGCGCCCGCCAGCAUUCUGGCGGGCAUGCCUGUUCGAGCGUCAUUUCAACCCUCAAGCUCUGCUUGGUGUUGGGGCCCUACAGCUGAUGUAGGCCCUCAAAGGUAGUGGCGGACCCUCCCGGAGCCUCCUUUGCGUAGUAACUUUACGUCUCGCACUGGGAUCCGGAGGGACUCUUGCCGUAAAACCCCCCAAUUUUCCAAAGGUUGACCUCGGAUCAGGUAGGAAUACCCGCUGAACUUAAGCAUAUCAAUAAGCGGAGGAAAAGAAACCAACAGGGAUUGCCUCAGUAACGGCGAGUGAAGCGGCAACAGCUCAAAUUUGAAAUCUGGCCCUAGGCCCGAGUUGUAAUUUGCAGAGGAUGCUUUUGGUGCGGUGCCUUCCAAGUUCCCUAGAACGGGACGCCAGAGAGGGUGAGAGCCCCGUACAGUUGGACACCAAGCCUUUGUAAAGCUCCUUCGACGAGUCGAGUAGUUUGGGAAUGCUGCUCAAAAUGGGAGGUAUAUUUCUUCUAAAGCUAAAUACCGGCCAGAGACCGAUAGCGCACAAGUAGAGUGAUCGAAAGAUGAAAAGCACUUUGAAAAGAGGGUUAAACAGCACGUGAAAUUGUUAAAAGGGAAGCGCUUGUGACCAGACUUGCGUCCGGUGAAUCACCCAGCUCUCGCGGCUGGGGCACUUCGCCGGCUCAGGCCAGCAUCAGCUCGCUGUCGGGGACAAAAGCUUCAGGAACGUAGCUCUCUUCGGGGAGUGUUAUAGCCUGUUGCACAAUACCCUUCGGCGGGCUGA
rnacentral:misc_RNA from 1 species